rnacentral:tRNA from 1 species
GCGCCAGAGGUGUAAUGGAGCAUCCCCGCUGCCAUGUUAGCAGGAGGUGCCGGUUCGAGUCCCGCCUGGCGCU